CUGCAUUAGUGCAAGUCAGUCAAGCAUACAGAUGGGGAGCUCAGUUGUGAGGAGGGAGAUUUCUAUUUUGAUUGCAGCUGGAGAGUAAAAGGAUAAGCCUUUCCUCCCUGUUCUGAGAUUAAAAUAAGACACCCAUGAUUCAUUCUUCUCUGCAGGACCAGUGCCAGGGCACAGAACAGAACAAAGAGUCACUGGAAACAGAGUCCUAAUGCAACUCCCUACAUGAGCUGAAUGACUUGAGAUGCACCCCAUUUUCUCCCCCAAGGGAUGAAUCCUCAAACAUACAGGUAGUAGGCAACCACCCCUGGGGGAAUGAGGAGCCAGGGAUGAUGUCACACCAGGGAGUAGGGUGCUAUGCAGAGAGAGUGGCCCUGAAAGGUCCUCCAGGUCCCUACUUUAUUGUCCUUUUGGCACCAGACAGAGACCUUUUUCUUUUCCCAAGCUUUUCAGAUCCAGUGUUAAUCCUAUUGAUCGUGUGAGCCUGCUUUUUAUUAUUUGGUGACUUUUAAGCAGAUUUUAUGCUUUAUAUUGACUGUAUUGUGUUGUUUGCUUGUUUGUUUGUUUUGGAAAUCACCCUGGCAAUGGGACUGAAAUCUAGAAAUACAUAGAGUAUAAAAAUUAGUGGAGGGAGUGGACAGAUCACAGAAUGUGGUGUGGGUUGGGUUCUACUAUUAGGAUUUAAUGCAAAUUACUUUUUCCAAGGAAGGAAAGCAAGCAAGCAAGUAAGCAAGCAAGAAAACCAGCCAGUCUGAAACACAUUUCCAUAAGUUACUCCCAAGUACACACAGUCCAUGAAGACAAAAUGUAUGUCCCGAUCCUGUGAUUAUUGUGCUGAAGAAGACAUGGACCUAGAAAGCACUGGAGAUAGAAAAGAUGGAUGUAAGUGAAGCUGAAAGGCUAGCUGGCAGACUCAUCUCAGUCUUUUGAAGUGUAGCCAGAUUGACUAUCACCACUGAGCAAACCGCAUUUGCAUUUCGGGUUGCACACACAAUAGCAUAAAAGGUGACUCUGUGGAUGACUCAAGUGCCCACUCCAGUAAUCUUGGAAGAAGAACAAUAGGACCUGAAGCGCUUAUCCUUUUCAAGAAAAAGAAGAGGACGAUAACCCUAAGAGCAGGACAAGCAAAAGAAAUCCUUCCUUUCUGUCUCUAAUAGAGCUACUCAGGAGAAUAAGUUGAUGAUUAAUGUCAAUGGGUGCAGCCCUGGUGUGACACUGAGUCCAGGGAAGGAAGAGUCACACCUCGUAAACAAGGGUACUGAAUUAUGCACGUUAAAGCCCCAUCCUGCUAGUUCGCAACUCCUUGCAUUUCGCCAACAUCAAACCAUUCUCAAAGGAGACUACCACUUCUAUCACCCAACUUAACAUAGUCAACACAUAUGAAGGGCACCAGGUUGGGGAAGGCUGCUUUACGGUAUAGUUUAUCUGUUAAUUAUGCAAGCAACAUAGUGUUGACCCAAGACGUUUUUGCUGCUUCAGUAACAAAUACAAAUUAUACUCAAGGCUGGCCAAUUUAUUUUGGCAUCUGGGGCAGAAACCCCCACAAGCAAGAAUGAUGAGUUGGAAGCAAGACUGUCAUUUUGCCAGCAGAAUGAUUCUCAGGGGGACCCCCUUCUUCUCCUGCUCCUGCAUUUCCACAGGAACUCUCAAGGAGCAGCACAGGGAAGGAGGCAAAGGAAGGAGAAGCCCUUGGGAAAUUACAACAACCCAAGUUAUUCAACAUGAACAAUAUUUGGAAGUCAGUCGCUACCCACUUUUUUCCAGAACUGCAGAGAAAACAAGUGGAGGAUCAAAUGGAUUAGACACCAAGCAAACCACUUUGGGGGACAGAAGAUGUUUGAAGCCAAACCACAAGCCACAUUUGUCAAGCUCUUAAAAAAUAGAAAUGAAGGAUCAAAGCAGGAGCCUUUGACAAAUAUUAACAUUUGUCACCUACUAUUACUUUUGAUGUGCUACUUUUUGAUUUUGUAAAGACAGCCAAGUCCUACAGGAAGGAACCUUUAUGCCUUCAGAAAAAUAAUAUAAUGGUAAUGUUGCCAAAAUAAGGAAGUCUAACUAAAGAUAAGGAAUUUGGUUUACCACCCUGCCCCAAAGUAAGACAUUGAUUCAUAAGGUUUAUGCAAAGUAUCUCAAUCUUCUAUCCUAGGAAGAGUCUCCUGUUUUUUAUUCAUUUAAUUUAAUUCCAUUUAAUAGUGUUUUUUAUGUCACUGUAUGAACAUCUUAAUUUAUUAGUCCCACUGAAUUUACUUCCUAGUAAAUGUGUAUAGAAUUUCAGCCUAAUAUACAUGAACCAUUGAAUUCAAUGGAGCUUAUUCCUAAAGAAGUGUGCGUAGGGUUGUAGGGUAAAUACUUUCAUAAAAACUUUACAUCUCAUCAGGUUAAUUUGUUUAUUUUUGGCCAUGUUAUAAAUGCAUUCCUAUGUAAAUAUUUCAUAGCUCUUCCUCUUGCAAACCAAAUAAUGUUAAACAAAAAAUGAUUUUGCUAUAUAUGCUUAUCUGGACCAAGUUUGUCAAAUCUCAUACUUAUUAAGGUUCAGUCUCCCUGCAGGUCUAUGCAAUGAUCAAUGAAGUUAUGUGAUACAAUGCUUUGCAUGAGUAUGUAUACACAUGUAUAUAUAAUAAUUUAGAUUCAUUUAGCCUCACUUUUCUUUAGGAUACAUUACCAGUGGACACAGUUCUUCCUGUUUCAAGCUGAAAUAUUUAUAUAAAGUUCCAAAAAAAAAGCCCAACCCCAAAAACACAAACAAACCCUUUAUCACUG